AGAAAGUCACGUGACCGAUCAUGAGCUGUUUCGGUCACGUGACCGAUACGCGAACUGUGUUGAACUGACGCCUGCGCGCCAAACUGCGUUUAUAAGGAAGCGCAUCUGUCAACAGAUGCUGCUGCCAACAGAAUCGCCGCACUUCUGUCGUUGGUCAUUUGUAAUUUAUCGUCGUCUGAGAUCAUGGAGCAGCCUCAGGCAAAAAGAAAGAUUUCCGCCCUGUGAGAGUAUUUUGAUCAUAUAUCGGAAAAAAAGGUAUUUGUGUUAAUUUCCUUGUCGUUUCAUCCUGUUCUCUCAAAGUUUCCACUUCAUCUAUUAGAAUUCAAAAUCUCUUCAAAAAUAUUCUUAGUUUACUAUUCAUAUUUUCUGCAGGUUAAAUGUCGCAUUUGUACGACAGAAUUGUCAUACAUUAACAAAUCCACCUCCUCGAUGCUGAGGCACUAUAGGGCCAGGCAUGAAAAUGAAGUUCCAAAGACACCCAGGAUAAACUCAGUAAGCAGAUGCUGGAUGAGGCUCUGCUGAACUUCAUUGUCAAGGACUGCCAGCCCCUCAGCAUUGUGGAGAGUGAAGGGUUCAGGGAACUGGUGCAGGUCCUUGAGCCAUCAUAUGUUUUGCCUACCAGAAAGACCAUCAAAAAAAUGCUGGUGAAAAAAUAUGAGGAGGAACGGGAACGAGUAAAAUUUGAAGUACAUCAAGCUGUGGCAGUGAGUAUAACAGCUGACAUGUGGACAUCUGUAAACAUGGGGGCUUACUUGGCUCUUACCUGUCACUACGUAAAUGAUCAUUUGCAGUUGUGUACAUCUGUGUUGGGAGUGCAAUACUUUCCACAAAGUCACACUGCUGACAAUUUGGCCCAGGUCAAAAGGGGCAUGAUGGCGGACUGGGCCAUAACUAAUAAAGUAAAGUGUUUUGUGACCGACGCAGCACCAAACAUGAUUGCAUCCACUAGACAGCUCCAAAUUCGACACUCAAUUUGCAUUGCACAUAGUCUUAAUUUAUUAGUUAGAAAAUCAUGUGACCAGAUCCCCACACUUGCAUCCAUCAGACACAAAGCUAGGCACAUUGUAGGUGGGCUCUGUACCGAGGAUGUUGUUGUGGCUUGUGCAGCCCUUUGAGACACUUGUGAUUUAGGGCUAUAUAAAUAAACAUUGAUUGAUUGAUUGAUUGUCACAUACUUUAGAUCGAGCACUACAGCUAAGGAGAAGCUUGCUCAAGUGCAGCAACAGAUGGGACGGCCAACCCUGAAACUCAUCAAUGAGGUGGCAACACGCUGGAACAGCACAUAUGAAAUGCUGUCAAGGCUACAUGAUGAGAAGGAGUCAGUGUGGGUAUCUCCGGCCUCUCUAAAAACAGAUUUGACUCCACUUACAGCUGAUGAGUUUAACAUCGUAGGAGAAACACUUAUUGUGCUUGCUCCUUUCCAUCAAGCCACAGUGGAGUUGUCUGAGGAGAGGCGAGUGUCAGGGUCAUGCAUACUUGCUGAGCCUCCCGAUUUUUCCGGGAGACUUACGAAAUUCAGUGCCUCUCCCGAAAAUCUCCCGGGAAAACCAUUCUCCGAUUUUCAC